UUUAAUAUGACAGACAAAAUGUGCUAGAUUUAAACUCUAUAGAUAAAGUAUUACUUUUAUUAAAA
rnacentral:tRNA from 1 species